GAUGAACGCUAGCGGCAGGCCUAAUACAUGCAAGUCGAACGGUGUCUUCGGACAUAGUGGCGCACGGGUGCGUAACAGGUAUGCAACCUACCUUACAUUGGGGGAUAGCAUUUCGAAAGGGAGAUUAAUACCGUAUAAGACAGUAGCCGGUCAUCCAGCAGCUGUUAAAGAUUUAGCCAUGUAAGCUGGGCAUGCGUCCGAUUAGCUAGUUGGCGAGGUAACGGCUCACCAAGGCAAUGAUUGGUAGGGGAACUGAGAGGUCAAUCCCCCACACUGGCACUGAGAUACGGGCCAGACGCCUACGGGAGGCAGCAGUAGGGAAUAUUGGGCAAUGGACGCAAGGCUGGCCCAGCCAUGCCGCGUGCAGGAUGAAGGCGUUAUGCGUUGUAAACUGCUUUUAUACAGGAAGAAACGACUCUUGCGAGAGGCAUUGACGGUACUGUAUGAAUAUGCACCGGCUAGCUCCGUGCCAGCAGCCGCCGUAAGAC
rnacentral:rRNA from 1 species